rnacentral:rRNA from 1 species
GACGAACGCUGGCGGCGUGCUUAACACAUGCAAGUCGAACGGAAAGGCCCCUUUGGGGGUACUCGAGUGGCGAACGGGUGAGUAACACGUGAGUAACCUGCCCUUGACUUCGGGAUAACUUCAGGAAACUGGGGCUAAUACCGGAUAGGAAUCCUUGCUGCAUGGUGGGGGUUGGAAAGCUUCGGCGGUUUUGGAUGGACUCGCGGCUUAUCAGCUUGUUGGUGGGGUAGUGGCUUACCAAGGCUUUGACGGGUAGCCGGCCUGAGAGGGCGACCGGCCACAUUGGGACUGAGAUACGGCCCAGACUCCUACGGGGGGCAGCAGUGGGGAAUAUUGCACCAUGGGCGGAAGCCUGAUGCAGCAACGCCGCGUGCGGGAUGACGGCCUUCGGGUUGUAAACCGCUUUCAGCAGGGGCGAAGCUUGUGGUGACGGUACCUGCAGAAGAAGCACCGGCUAACUACGUG